GAUGAACGCUGGCGGCGUGCCUAAUACAUGCAAGUCGAGCGAACAGACGAGGAGCUUGCUCCUCUGACGUUAGCGGCGGACGGGUGAGUAACACGUGGAUAACCUACCUAUAAGACUGGGAUAACUUCGGGAAACCGGAGCUAAUACCGGAUAAUAUAUUGAACCGCAUGGUUCAAUAGUGAAAGACGGUUUUGCUGUCACUUAUAGAUGGAUCCGCGCCGCAUUAGCUAGUUGGUAAGGUAACGGCUUACCAAGGCUACGAUGCGUAGCCGACGUGAGAGAGUGGUCGGCCACACUGGAGCGGGAACGCGGUCCAGACUCCUACGGGAGGCAGCAGUAGGGAAUCUUCCGCAAUGGGCGAAAGCUUGACGGAGCAACGCCGCGUGAGUGAUGAAGGUCUUCGGAUCGUAAAACUCUGUUAUUAGGGAAGAACAAAUGUGUAAGUAACUAUGCACGUCUUGACGGUACCUAAUCAGAAAGCCACGGCUAACUACGUG
rnacentral:rRNA from 1 species